rnacentral:rRNA from 1 species
UGCGAGGUGAAGAGGAAAAGAAAGUAACAGGAUUCCCCUAGUAACUGCGAGUGAAGCGGGAUGAGCUCAAAUUUUGAAUCUGGCGGCCCUCGUCGGUCGUCCGAGUUGUAAUCUAGAGAAGCGUCUUCCGCGCUGGACCGUGUACAAGUCUCCUGGAACGGAGCGUCGCAGAGGGUGAGAAUCCCGUCUAUGACACGGACUGCCAGGGCCUCGUGCGAUGCGCUCUCGACGAGUCGAGUUGUUUGGGAAUGCAGCUCAAAUCGGGUGGUAAAUUCCAUCUAAAGCUAAAUACGGGCGAGAGACCGAUAGCGAACAAGUACCGUGAGGGAAAGAUGAAAAGAACUUUGGAAAGAGAGUUAAACAGUACGUGAAAUUGCUGAAAGGGAAACGCUCCGAGUCAGUCGCGUCGGCCGGGGAUCAGUCCUGCGGGCGAUCUCGCUUGCGGAGACGCAUUUCUCGGUCGACGGGUCAGCGUCGGUUUCGGCCGUCGCACAAGGGUCGGGGCGCACGUGGCAUCCCCAGGGGUGUGUUAUAGCCCCCGAUCGCAUGCGGCGAUUGGGACCGAGGAUCGCAAGCGCGGGGUCUCCCUUUGCGGGAGGCCGCGAGCCCCUCCCUCACGGGGGGCGGCCUACGUCCGCGCGCUUAGGACGCUGGCAUAAUGUCUCCGAGCGACCCGUCUUGAAACACGGACCAAGGAGUCUAACGCGCGCGCGAGUGUUCGGGUGCUUCAAACCCGAGCGCGCAGCGAAAACGAAAGUCGAGACCUCCGUCGCGGAGGGCACCGACGCCCGGACCCGAGCCUCGCGCGAGGGAUCUGCGGUCGAGCGCGUGCGUUGGGACCCGAAAGAUGGUGAACUAUGCCUGAAUAGGGCGAAGCCAGAGGAAACUCUGGUGGAGGCUCGCAGCGAUUCUGACGUGCAAAUCGAUCGUCGAAUUUGGGUAUAGGGGCGAAAGACUAAUCGAACCAUCUAGUAGCUGGUUCCCGCCGAAGUUUCCCUCAGGAUAGCAGAAGCUCGUCGCAUCAGAUUUAUGUGGUAAAGCGAAUGAUUAGAGGCCUUGGGGUCGCAACGACCUUAACCUAUUCUCAAACUUUGAAUAUGUAAGGACGGGCCGUCUCUCGAUUGGACCGCUCGGCGAUUGAGAGCUUCUAAUGGGCCAUUUUUGGUAAGCAGAACUGGCG